UAUUUCCCACCUGAUUUUGAACUUUGUUUCAAAGUGAUGGGGUUCUAUUUUGCAUAAUUUCUAACACCCGUAUGCCUUAUAAAGGGUUAAGUUCAAGACAAUUUUUUAAGCAAUUAAAUAAUUAAGUAUAUUCAAUCUCAUUGCUAAUACAUGUGACGUUAUAUGUUCGCAUUCUGCGACCCUGAAUGCCCUGCUCUAUACUCUGUAUCUUUAGGUAUUUAAAUAAAAGUAAACAAAAUCUACCCUCAAAUGGCUCCUUAAGCCAGUUGAGGGUAGAUGAAAACAUUACAUGAUCAAAUAAAGUAGGUUAAAGUCAGUGUCGUUCAGUGACAGAUCCAGGCGGUUUUGUAUUUGGUUGGUUAACCAAUAAAUGUUAUAACUACCCGAAAAUGUACAAACUGAUUGUUUACUUUUAUAUCAAUACCUAAAGAUACAGACUAUAGUUUCCACCAGAUAUGUGCGAGGAUGCGUAGCGAGGGAUGUGUUUGUUAAGUACCAUGUGGUGUAGUAUAGGGAGACACUUUAAUGAGUUAGUAAUAGUAAACGGGCCAUUCGAUAGAGCGCCUGUGUUUGAUUUAUUACGGCCUCCUCGUCCGCGAGUAUUAGUAAAACGCAAACUAGUCUUAGUAGGCAAAACGCGUCACGGUCGCCAUGAGGUGACGGGAGGGGUAUUUAGAUCAAACACAGGCGCUCUAUCGAAUGGUUCGUUUACUACUAACUCAAUAAACUGUCUCCCUAUAAUACACCACAACCAAUGGAAAUACUACACGCUGAGCGAGGACAACAAAUUAAGUGAUUCUAUUGGCUCUGAAAAACACAUCACCCACUACACAUCCUCGCACAUCUCUAGUGGAAACGCAGCCUAAUAUACGAACAUAUAAUGUCAGACCUCUUCGCUAACGUGUCUUUUCUACGGACAUAUGAUGGAUGCGAUAAUGACAGGCUAAAGUAUCCGUCUAUUCGUAAACACUUCGACAACCAUGUCCAUCAUAGUCCGCUGGUUCAACUACUGCCGACCUCAAAAUGUACGGCGAAACACGAUAGUGAAAUAGGGCUUUGGAGCCUACUCGACUCGUCAAAGGGACAGGUCAUACGUUGCCGCCAUAUGUCAGAGUCGAAUAGAUUCCCUGGUCUAAAGGUUGCAUCUAGUGACGCUGCGUCUUACGUAAGGGAACAACUCGCGAACGCGAAGCGAAGCGGCGCGUCGGGCCCAAGGCGUUCGUGUUCGCAACGAGAUCGCCCACGUAGGACACUUCUAUACGUAUCAAAAGGAUUGAUUCACCCCGCGCCGCAUCGCUUCGCGUCGCGUUCGCGUGUUGUUCGCCUACGUAGUACGCUGCGUAACAUGUCACAAAAGUGUUUAAUUCGUGACAUAAUGUUGCUAUUUACCCAUAUUACGAACACUAUUACCUAUAUCACAUUCAAAGUUUAUUCCAAAACUAUGUUUUUAAUAAAUGUUUUAGUAUCACCUAGAUUGUUGGAUAAAUGUAAUAUAGUUAUGUUGGUUAUAAUUAAAUAUAAAUAGGUAUAAUUCUUCAAUAUUGACUGAUAUAUAAACAAAAAUAUUUAAUGAUUCUAUAAAAGUUUUCCAUUGUAAUAGGUAGCUCUCUAAUAAAUGAAUAUUUAAAGAUGUUAUCAAUGCAUAAUUAUACCUAUUUCAUACUAUAUUAGGCAGUAUUAUUUGCAGUCACUUGCUUACAUCAUUAGUAGUUGUCGUUUUAUUUACUCAUGUUAUUAUAUUAUAAUUAUGUACUAAGUUCAUAUUUACAUAAAUGCAAAUUACCAAUGUAUACAUAAACCUUUGGCACAGUGUAAAAAGUAACAGUGGACAGACACCUUUGAUGUUUGGGUAAAUACUGACACCGCACAAGAACACAGUAGGGUUGUCACAGACUUUUACAUAACUGCCCAAGACUUUUACACUUGUUACUAUAAGACACGCUAGCCCUGUAAGUAGUACCGAGCUACUAACAAUGGCUAUGUACGCAGCUCGGGUGCGCGCGACCCUCCCCUCGCCCCUCGCACCCCACACGAUUGCCCUGUCUAGACGGCUUCGUCGAAUGGUAGGUAUUGUUUUAAAGAGUGUGCCUUUGGACAGGAUAUAUAUUACGCUGUACUUUCUUCGACAUUAAAAUUUCUUGCCAAUCAUGUUUAUAGUAUUUUUCUCAUAGCUUGGGUACAAUAAAAUUUUGCGUUUUAAGGUUAUAAUGGAGAUGACAGCUAGGUCACUGUACCCAAACUAUGUAAAAUGACAGUCGAAAUAUAAUAAUACUAGAACAGUAACGCCAAAAUAUUACAUCUAUAGUUUAUUUAACUUCAAUGUCACUAUUCUUUCAGUUUCAGCAGGUCUUGUUUACCUACACCAGGCGGUCUAGCAUGAGUUGCGUUCUCGCGCGCGACUCCAUACAUCAAGCGCGACUUCAAGUAUGGACUCGCGCGCGAGAACACAACUUAUGCCUGUAAAAAUCCGGGUACAAGAUUUGGCACUAAAUACUUCUUAUUAGUAGCUACAGGAUUUGAUCUUUUGGUUACUCUCCCAUUCUUAGUAUAUCGAUGGUCAAUCAAAUGUUUUAUGUGAGCAUGCAACUAUGUCUUCAAUACUUGACAGCCCCACUUGACGUGGGUAACAACCGGCCAUUAGUUAUAGUCUUUCAUAUGUGACUGCAAAAAAAUGUGUUGUGCUGUAUAAAAAGGGACCAGGCUGAGUAAAAGACCCAUUAUUAACACAAUAUAAAUGCGAGUGUUUUUUUGUACAGAAUGACAUGCCUGCCCCAAACAGAUUCAAUAAUUAAAUACCUAGGCUAAGUAGCGAUGUUAGAAAAAAAUACUAUUUUAAUAAUAUUAAAGCGUUUAUAUUUUUAACAACUCUUUAAACCCCUUUAUUCCACUUUUGUAACCAAUGGUGUUAGGUUUAAGUGUAAGUAAUGUUACGUGUAUGUAAAUUUUGUAAAAGUUAUUGUUAGUAUACCCUCAGGUACCUUACUGUGUAGCGUUUGUAUUAUAAGAUUGGAUGACAGGAUCCGGUGACCACAAGACGAGUAAGUGAUAAUCCGUUACAUAUUUUAAUCGUGUAUAAUAAAUGUCAGAUUAUUAGCUAAA